UGCAUGCCACUUUGUCUGAGACUUCACCUCGCCUUGAUCUGGAACUGGUGUCAAAUGGGGCACAAUUCUGCAAGGAGCCAAUGAGUGAAAGCUGUACCUUCUCGUUGCCCAGGAUGAUCCCAGCUCGCCAACAAAAAGCUUGGCAAGACUUCGUACGUCAUGGCAGGGGUAUCUCGCCAUCAUCAGAUAGGAAUAUCGGGACACGGGAUUAAUGCAGAUGCUGUGGGAGGGAAUGAAGGUAUGGGCGUAAGGGAUGGCAAGGGAUACGAAUUCGUUUGCUGCUAGCUGCUACUGGAUUUUUCUCAUUGUUCCCAUCCCCUGUACCCUCAAAACAAAUGCAACAAUGCUAGCUGAAGAGGUCACCAGAAGGCUCGAUCUCGAGUGCAAGUAACUUCAAACGACCGAAAUACGAGGCCCUCUGAACUAGCUAACGGCUGUGGUGACCCGACAGUGGUCUUCCCGUACAGGACAUUGCUCUGCUCAUCAGGAUUGUAGGGGAGAAGACGCGGGAGGAAUUUUGUUGGGAACGAAGAAUGCAGUUGCGUAGUGCGACUCUUUCUGGUGAAUGUGGGGUUAGAAGACAACAGUGCAGCUGCUUGUUUUUACUGGGCCGAAAGGGAUCAUGGUGACAUCAAGUCAUCAACGAACUGAGCAAGAAAUGUGAUGCCAUGGCAAGUUGCCCUGUGAAAGUUGGUGAUUGAUGAGAUAUAUAUAAUACUCCAGCUUUUGCCAACUAAGUUAAGCUUUGGCUUUGCAGGUGUCACAUUUUGGAUUAGGGUUAUGCCUAUCUUUUUUCCAGAUAGGGAGCAUCUUUUUCAUUUGAAUCCAGGAAUGCUAGAUCGAUUGCCAGUGGAUAAGAACAUGAUUCCUUGGAUGAGCUCCAACAGGUUCAGAGGAUAAUGGUUUAUAUAGAUCGAAAGAGCACAUCAUUAGGGAACAUAAAAAUUAUACCUUCCAGUCAAUGAAUGGUGCCCUCCCUACCGUACCCCAGUAAACUUGUGGUGCUACAACCACUGCAACAGUGUUCAGCUAUCAAAUCAUAAGCGUUAUCCAAUCCAGUUGCAACUUGCAGGCUGCGAUUGACACACAUAGUCACAUGCGUGCAGCUUUCAUUGACAUGCAUGCAUUUGCAUUAUUCAGAAACUAGAGAAAGAUGUGCGUGCAGGUGCU